CGGAAGGUUGGGUGGACGAAUGGUCAGGGUGACCAGGCCAGGUCCGAAAGGAAGCAGCCACAGUCUGCACUAAUCGGGUCAUCCAGCCUUUCAUGA
rnacentral:SRP_RNA from 1 species